rnacentral:rRNA from 1 species
GAUGAACGCUAGCGGCAGGCCUAAUACAUGCAAGCCGAACGGUAACUUUUCCAGCAAUGGAGAGGCUAGAGUGGCGUAAGGGUGCGUAACACGUAUGCAAUCUACCCGCAACAGGAGUAUAGCUCCCCGAAAGGGGAAUUAACGCUCCAUAAGAUCACACGAGGGCAUCUGAGAGUGAUUAAAUCUGAGGAGGUUGCGGAUGAGCAUGCGUCUGAUUAGCUAGUUGGCGGGGUAAAGGCCCACCAAGGCGAUGAUCAGUAGGGGAACUGA